rnacentral:ncRNA from 2 species
AUAGAUAGUCCAAUUACAGGUCCUGGGGCCUUGGCCCUGGGAUACUCAAACGGGAACGCGGUUAAAAUCCGCGGCGGUCGCGCCGCUGUGAGCGCCUGCUCCGAUUCGAUAAUCGGAAAUCCGAGAGGCAUUUUGGGACCCCAUUUUGCAGGGAUAUAGCAAAAUGGGAACCCUAUCCACUGCCCGGCACUGAAGACGACGGAAGACAGAAAUCAGACUUCAGACCUCUGUCUUCUGACAUCUGACUUUAGCCGGAUGGGAAGGAGCUUCGAGGUAAGACGCAAGUCAGAAAACCUGCCUGUGGUUGGUUACACAU